GCUACACAUGCAAGUCGAGCGGUAAGGCCCUUCGGGGUACACGAGCGGCGAACGGGUGAGUAACACGUGAGCAACCUGCCCCUGACUCCGGGAUAAGCGGUGGAAACGCCGUCUAAUACCGGAUAUGACACACCAUCUCCUGGUGGUGUGUGGAAAGUUUUGUCGGUCAGGGAUGGGCUCGCGGCCUAUCAGCUAGUUGGUGGGGUAAAGGCCUACCAAGGCGAUUACGGGUAGCCGGCCUGAGAGGGCGACCGGCCACACUGGGACUGAGACACGGCCCAGACUCCUGCGGGAGGCAGCAGUGGGGAAUAUUGCACAAUGGGCGAAAGCCUGAUGCAGCGACGCCGCGUGGGGGAUGACGGCCUUCGGGUUGUAAACCUCUUUUACCACCAACGCAGGCCCCGGGUUCUCUCGGGGUUGACGGUAGGUGGGGAAUAAGGACCGGCUAACUACGUGCCAGCAGCCGCGGUAAUACGUAGGGUCCGAGCGUUGUCCGGAAUUAUUGGGCGUAAAGAGCUCGUAGGCGGCGUGUCGCGUCUGCUGUGAAAGACCGGGGCUUAACCCCGGUUCUGCAGUGGAUACGGGCAUGCUAGAGGUAGGUAGGGGAGACUGGAAUUCCUG
rnacentral:rRNA from 1 species